CUCAAAUUCACAGCAGAAACAUAACCUGUUACCAUCAUUUUCAGCAAUUCCAAUCUCUCACGUUAACUGUCAUUAACUCCUACAGCAGGAGAGAUGGAAAA